ncrna:unclassified sequences L13-Bacteroidia ribosomal protein leader
GAGAGUGAACUUAGAACUCUCAGCACAUUGUGUGUUAAUAGCGUUACUUUUGGCCGGGUUACGUGGUUAGAGAAU